rnacentral:rRNA from 1 species
GGUAGAAGUGGUUUCGGCUAUCACUUUAGGAUGGACCCGCGGUGCAUUAGUUAGUUGGUGAGGUAAAGGCUCACCAAGACCGUGAUGCAUAGCCGACCUGAGAGGGUAAUCGGCCACACUGGGACUGAGACACGGCCCAGACUCCUACGGAGGCAGCAGUAGGGAAUCUUCCACAAUGGACGAAAGUCUGAUGGAGCAACGCCGCGUGAGUGAAGAAGGUUUCGGAUCGUAAACUCUGUUGUUGGAGAAGAAUGUAUCUGAUAGUAACUGAUCAGGUAGUGACGGUAUCCAACCAGAAAGCCACGGCUAACUACGUG